GUGCUUGCUUUGGCAGUACAUAUGCCAAAACUGAAAUCAUACAGACAUUAGCAUAGUCCCUGGGGAAGGGUGACGUAAGCAUUUGUCAAGCAGUCUGUAUUCAU